rnacentral:rRNA from 1 species
CUUUCUAGCUAUAUUUGCAACAGUUGCCUGUGUCUAAAUCUUGGAAGCCAAGCAAAGUUGGACCUGGUUAGUAAUUGAAUUGGAGAUUGCCUGGGAAUAUUGGGUACUAGAAGCU